rnacentral:tRNA from 1 species
GGGGUUGGGGCUCAGUGGUUGAGUGCCUGCCUGCCAUGCGUGAGGCUCUGGGUUCAAUUCUCAGUACCACA